rnacentral:rRNA from 1 species
AUUGAACGCUAGCGGCAGGCUUAACACAUGCAAGUCGAGCGGGGAAGGGUAGCUUGCUACCUGACCUAGCGGCGGACGGGUGAGUAAUGCUUAGGAAUCUGCCUAUUAGUGGGGGACAACAUUCCGAAAGGAAUGCUAAUACCGCAUACGCCCUACGGGGGAAAGCAGGGGAUCUUCGGACCUUGCGCUAAUAGAUGAGCCUAAGUCAGAUUAGCUAGUUGGUGGGGUAAAGGCCUACCAAGGCGACGAUCUGUAGCGGGUCUGAGAGGAUGAUCCGGCACACGGGGACUGAGACACGGCCCAGACUCCUACGGGAGGCAGCAGUGGGGAAUAUUGGACAAUGGGCGCAAGCCUGAUCCAGCCAUGCCGCGUGUGUGAAGAAGGCCUUUUGGUUGUAAAGCACUUUAAGCGAGGAGGAGGCUACUUGGAUUAAUACUCUAGGAUAGUGGACGUUACUCGCAGAAUAAGCACCGGCUAACUCUGUGCCAGCAGCCGCCGUAACAC